rnacentral:rRNA from 1 species
UAGGGAAUCUUCGGCAAUGGACGGAAGUCUGACCGAGCAACGCCGCGUGAGUGAAGAAGGUUUUCGGAUCGUAAAGCUCUGUUGUAAGAGAAGAACGAGUGUGAGAGUGGAAAGUUCACACUGUGACGGUAUCUUACCAGAAAGGGACGGCUAACUACGUGCCAGCAGCCGCGGUAAUACGUAGGUCCCGAGCGUUAUCCGGAUUUAUUGGGCGUAAAGCGAGCGCAGGCGGUUAGAUAAGUCUGAAGUUAAAGGCUGUGGCUUAACCAUAGUACGCUUUGGAAACUGUUUAACUUGAGUGCAGAAGGGGAGAGUGGAAUUCCAUGUGUAGCGGUGAAAUGCGUAGAUAUAUGGAGGAACACCGGUGGCGAAAGCGGCUCUCUGGUCUGUAACUGACGCUGAGGCUCGAAAGCGUGGGGAGCAAACAGGAUUAGAUACCCUGGUAGUCCACGCCGUANCGAUGAGUGCUAGGUGUUGGGUCCUUUCCGGGACUCAGUGCCGCAGCUAACGCAUUAAGCACUCCGCCUGGGGAGUACGACCGCAAGGUUG